GACGAACGCUGGCUGCGUGCUUAACACAUGCAAGUCGAACGGUAAGGCUCCAGCUUGCUGGGGUACACGAGUGGCGAACGGGUGAGUAACACGUGGGUGACCUGCCCUGCACUUCGGGAUAAGCCUGGGAAACUGGGUCUAAUACCGGAUAGGACCGCACCGUGAGGGUGUGGUGGAAAGUUUUUUCGGUGUGGGAUGGGCCCGCGGCCUAUCAGCUUGUUGGUGGGGUAAUGGCCUACCAAGGCGGCGACGGGUAGCCGGCCUGAGAGGGUGGACGGCCACAUUGGGACUGAGACACGGCCCAGACUCCUACGGGAGGCAGCAGUGGGGAAUAUUGCACAAUGGGCGGAAGCCUGAUGCAGCGACGCCGCGUGGGGGAUGACGGCCUUCGGGUUGUAAACUCCUUUCACCAUCGACGAAGGGUUUCUGACGGUAGGUGGAGAAGAAGCACCGGCUAACUACGUGCCAGCAGCCGCGGUAAUACGUAGGGUGCGAGCGUUGUCCGGAAUUACUGGGCGUAAAGAGCUCGUAGGUGGUUUGUCGCGUCGUCUGUGAAAUUCCGGGGCUUAACUCCGGGCGUGCAGGCGAUACGGGCAUAACUUGAGUACUGUAGGGGAGACUGGAAUUCCUGGUGUAGCGGUGAAAUGCGCAGAUAUCAGGAGGAACACCGGUGGCGAAGGCGGGUCUCUGGGCAGUAACUGACGCUGAGGAGCGAAAGCAUGUGGAGCGAACAGGAUUAGAUACCCUGGUAGUCCAUGCCGUAAACGGUGGGCGCUAGGUGUGGGUUUCCUUCCACGGGAUCCGUGCCGUAGCUAACGCAUUAAGCGCCCCGCCUGGGGAGUACGGCCGCAAGGCUAAAACUCAAAGGAAUUGACGGGGGCCCGCACAAGCGGCGGAGCAUGUGGAUUAAUUCGAUGCAACGCGAAGAACCUUACCUGGGCUUGACAUAUACAGGAUCGCGCCAGAGAUGGUGUUUCCCUUGUGGCUUGUAUACAGGUGGUGCAUGGUUGUCGUCAGCUCGUGUCGUGAGAUGUUGGGUUAAGUCCCGCAACGAGCGCAACCCUUGUCUUAUGUUGCCAGCACGUUGUGGUGGGGACUCGUAAGAAACUGCCGGGGUUAACUCGGAGGAAGGUGGGGAUGACGUCAAAUCAUCAUGCCCCUUAUGUCCAGGGCUUCACACAUGCUACAAUGGUCGGUACAGUGGGUUGCCAGUCCGUGAGGGCGAGCUAAUCCCGCAAAGCCGGUCUCAGUUCGGAUCGGGGUCUGCAACUCGACCCCGUGAAGUCGGAGUCGCUAGUAAUCGCAGAUCAGCAACGCUGCGGUGAAUACGUUUCCGGGGCU
rnacentral:rRNA from 1 species